rnacentral:rRNA from 1 species
AUUGAACGCUGGCGGCAUGCUUUACACAUGCAAGUCGAACGGCAGCACGGGGGCAACCCUGGUGGCGAGUGGCGAACGGGUGAGUAAUGCAUCGGAACAUGCCCAGUCGUGGGGGAUAACGUAGCGAAAGUUACGCUAAUACCGCAUACGUCCUGAGGGAGAAAGCGGGGGAUCGCAAGACCUCGCGCGAUUGGAGUGGCCGAUGUCAGAUUAGCUAGUUGGUGGGGUAAAGGCCUACCAAGGCGACGAUCUGUAGCGGGUCUGAGAGGAUGCUCCGCCACACUUGGACUGAGACACGGCCCAGACUCCUACGGGAGGCAGCAGUGGGGAAUUUUGGACAAUGGGGGCAACCCUGAUCCAGCCAUGCCGCGUGCGGGAAGAAGGCCUUCGGGUUGUAAACCGCUUUCGGACGGAAAGAAAUCGCUUGGGUUAAUACCCUGAGUGGAUGACGGUACCGUAAGAAGAAGCACCGGCUAACUACGUGCCAGCCGCCGCCGUAACAC